rnacentral:rRNA from 1 species
AUUGAACGCUGGCGGCAGGCCUAACACAUGCAAGUCGAACGCGUGGCGGACGGGUGAGUAAUGUCUGGGAAACUGCCUGAUGGAGGGGGAUAACUACUGGACACGGUAGCUAAUACCGCAUUCCCUCAGAUGUCCCCAGAUGGGAUUGGCUAGUUGGUGGGGGAACGGCCCACCAAGGCGACGAUCCCUAGCUGGUCUGAGAGGAGGACCAGCCACACGGGAACUGAGACACGGUCCAGACGCCUACGGGAGGCAGCAGUGGGGAAUAGUGCACAAUGGGCGCAAGCCUGAUGCAGCCAUGCCGCGUGUAUGAAGAAGGCCUUCGGGUUGUAAAGUACUUUCAGCGGGGAGGCGUUACCCGCAGAAGAAGCACCGGCUAACUCCGUGCCAGCAGCCGCGGUAAUAC